rnacentral:rRNA from 1 species
UACGGAGGGGGCAAGCGUUGUUCGGAAUUACUGGGCGUAAAGGGCGCGCAGGCGGCUGCUCAAGUCAGGCGUGAAAGGCCUGGGCUCAACCCGGGAAUUGCGCUUGAGACUGGGCUGGCUUGAGUGCGGGAGAGGAUGGUGGAAUUCCUAGUGUAGAGGUGAAAUUCGUAGAUAUUAGGAAGAACACCAGUGGCGAAGGCGGCUCACUGGUCCGGUACUGACGCUGAGGUGCGAAAGCGUGGGGAGCAAACAGG